CAUAAAAACAAAAUAAAAAGAAUCUUAAUAUAUUUUAUAUAUGACAAUUUAAUUGAUAUAAAAUAAUUCUAUAAGAAAAUUAUGUAAUAAAAUAAUUAUUCUAGAACAAGAUGACCGAGUCAACUCGCCAAUUCACACUGGGUUACACAUGUUAAUGAAAAACCAGUUGAGUCGCUUGAUUUUUGGCAGGUCAAUUCCUUAUCUAGUUCAACUAAAAACCAGCCCGGUUUAGUGGCUGGGUCACCAGAUCAACUCGGCAGCCUAGGUUUAAUAACACUGGUUUUUAUCAUAUUUGACUAAAUUUCCUUUUUUAACCAAUUUGAAAUAUUACCAAAUGCAUCCAAGAGCUCAUUUGACAGGACAAAAGUAUGCUUUCUGCUAUGAUCCUUAAGGUGUCCAACAUGCAAUGCCAAGAAAGAACAAUUUUAUUUUAAAAAUACUUUUCUUUUUCUUUUCCUAAAAUCUACUGUCGUUAUCUUCUCAGGAAAAAGGGGACAUGCUGCUAAAAUUACGAAUAAUUUGCUUAUAAAACACCAUCUGUGAGACCUUAUAGUGGCAUUUACAUAUUAAACACAUGCAUUUUGACACUCUAUCAAGCUCCCAUGGGAAAACAUAAGGAAGACACCAUAUUUCUAUUUUCCCUGGAUGGAGGUUAUUACUGUUCUAUCUCUUGUAUAAUAUCUAUGAAGUUAUAGAAACCUUGACUAAUGGUGCAUACAAUUAGUUAUGAGUCAUCAUAAUCAUGACCUACAUGAUUUCUUAUAUGCAGAACUACAACUAGUCAUUUUUCUCCACAUUAUGCCUUCAAACAGAGGAGUGACAAUAUUAACUUUCAACUCUGCUAAACUUCAGUGUACCAUAAGCGACUUUGAAUAUGCCUAGUUGACUUCCUGAAAUUGAAUAAGAUAAAAAACUUACCAUAGAAUUUCGAGAAGGACGAUCGGAAACAACUAAUGAAUGUGUAUGGUCCUUUUCGAAUCUUGUGACCACCCAUUUUCCUGAUUUAUUAAUCUUCACCAACAUCAUUGCUUUGCAACCUUCUCUCAUGCUAGCUCUUGGUUUCCUAACUGGUCCAAACUUGUCUCUAGCUUUAGCAUAAAAACCUUGUCUAUUACAAGAAAGUCGACGGGACAGUAUUCUCUUGUCAACCUCAGAACGCCGGCAUUGAUCAAUCCGCAUUAUGAAUCCUGCCCUUCUUGCAUACUCAUCGUAAAACUGCUUGGCAGCCUCUUCUGAUUCAAACUCCAUGCCAACACAUGGUUCUAGAAUUGGACCUUCUUCACUUGCAACCAAAUUUCUUUUGGCAGAACUAUCAACUGUUCCAACUUCAGCAUCCAAACUCAUGGACUUUAUCAAAAUUACUCGCUGACAGAAUGGCAGAUCCUCGAAUUCAUAAGGGAUUCAGUUUAAUUUUCCCGUAUUUGUUUCUUCAUUACCAGUGGCUGGACAGUUUGGACCAGGACUCUGAAUCUAUCAGAACUUCGAACGACUUGUCGUUCCUCUCAUGGAAAUUUUCCCAAGCGGUGGGUCCAAAACCAACAAAUAAAAGAUGUGAUCGCGUACAUCUCCGGUCUAUCAUGUCAGCUCUGCCGCUUCAACCCUCCGCGAUCCUAGGGUUUCACUGCUUCUGGUACGCUCAU
rnacentral:misc_RNA from 1 species